ACAGUAACAGAGGGAUUGAGGGCCUGCUCAGUGAGUUUACAUGUUAGAGGGAGUGGGGUAUAGUGACACAGUAACAGAGGGAUUGAGGGCUCUGCUCAGUGAGUUUACAUGUUAGAGGGAGUGGGGUAUAGUGACAGUAACAGAGGGAUUGAGGGCCCUGCUCAGUGAGUUUACAUGUUAGAGGGAGUGGGGUAUAGUGACACAGUAACAGAGGGAUUGAGGGCCC